AGAGUAAAAUAGUACGUGAAAUUGUUGAAAGGGAAACGAUUGAAGUCAGUCGUACCAGCGGGAAAUCAACCUUUUGAGUGGUCUCUUGGAAUUUUAAAGAGUUUCAAAGCCUUUGGGUUUCAAGAUUCUUCCUCUAUUGGUGUACUUUCUCGUAGGUAGGUCAACAUCGAUUUUGAGCAUCAUAAAAAGAUUGGAGGAAUGUAGCUUCGAUCUUGUAUUGAAGUAUUAUAGCCUUUGGUAAAUGUGAUGAUCAAGAUCGAGGAUUGCAACGAAUAUCCUUUUGGGCUAUUCGUCUGAUCUCUGAUACGUUGCCUUGGUAUCGAAAGCGUGCUUAUGAUAUUAAGGUAUUACGGUCAAAAGGUUAGAACGAAUUACAUUCGUUAAGGAUGUUGACGUAAUGGCUUUAAACGACC
rnacentral:rRNA from 1 species